AGUGAACGCUGGCGGCAGGCCUAAUACAUGCAAGUCGAACGGCAGCACAGUGGAGCUUGCUCCAUGGGUGGCGAGUGGCGGACGGGUGAGGAAUACAUGGGAAUCUGCCCAGUCGUGGGGGAUAACGUAGGGAAACUUACGCUAAUACCGCAUGCGCCCUUCGGGGGAAAGCCGGGGACCUUCGGGCCUGGCGCGAUUGGAUGAGCCCAUGAUCGAUUAGCUAGUUGGCGGGGUAAAGGCCCACCAAGGCGACGAUCGAUAGCUGGUCUGAGAGGAUGAUCAGCCACACUGGGACUGAGACACGGCCCAGACUCCUACGGGAGGUAGCAGUAGGGAAUAUUGGACAAUGGGCGCAAGCCUGAUCCAGCCAUGCCGCGUGAGUGAAGAAGGCCCUCGGGUUGUAAAGCUCUUUUGUCCGGGAAGAAAAGCAUCGGGCUAAUACCUCGGUGUUCUGACGGUACCGGAAGAAUAAGCACCGGCUAACUUCGUG
rnacentral:rRNA from 1 species